UACGGAGGGGGCAAGCGUUGUUCGGAAUUACUGGGCGUAAAGGGUGUGUAGGCGGUUUUCUAAGUUUGGUGUGAAAUCUCCCGGCUCAACUGGGAGGGUGCGCCGAAAACUGGAAAGCUAGAGUACUGGAUGGGAGAGUGGAAUUCCUGGUGUAGCGGUGAAAUGCGUAGAUAUCAGGAGGAACACCUGUGGUGUAGACGGCUCUCUGGACAGUCACUGACGCUGAGACACGAAAGCGUGGGUAGCAAACAGG
rnacentral:rRNA from 1 species